GAUGAACGCUAGCGGCAGGCUUAAUACAUGCAAGUCGUGGGGCAGCAUGACUGUAGCAAUACAGUUGAUGGCGACCGGCAAACGGGUGCGGAACACGUACGCAACCUACCCAAAACUGGGGAAUAGCCCGGGGAAACCCGGAUUAAUACCUCGUAACAUAAUAUAGUGGCAUCACUAUAUUAUUAUAGCUCCGGCGGUUUUGGAUGGGCGUACGCCUGAUUAGGUAGUUGGCGGGGUAACGGCCCACCAAGCCUUCGAUCGGUAACUGGUGUGAGAGCACGACCAGUCACACGGGCACUGAGACACGGGCCCGACUCCUACGGGAGGCAGCAGUAAGGAAUAUUGGUCAAUGGACGCAAGUCUGAACCAGCCAUGCCGCGUGGAGGAUGAAGGUCCUCUGGAUUGUAAACUUCUUUUAUCUGGGAAGAAAUCCAUCUUUUCUAAAGUGGUUGACGGUACCAGAUGAAUAAGCACCGGCUAACUCCGUGCCAGCAGCCGCGGUAAUACGGGA
rnacentral:rRNA from 1 species